rnacentral:rRNA from 1 species
CACGUAGGGGACGAGCGUUGUCCGGAUUCAUUGGGCGUAAAGCGCGCGUAGGCGGCCUCAUAAGUCCGUUGUGAAAGUCAAAGGCUCAACCUUUGAAAGCCGAUGGAUACUGUGAGGCUAGAGUCCGGAAGAGGCGAGUGGAAUUCCUGGUGUAGCGGUGGAAUGCGCAGAUAUCAGGAGGAACACCAAUAGCGAAGGCAGCUCGCUGGGACGGUACUGACGCUAAGGCGCGAAAGCGUGGGGAGCGAACAGG